GUCAGCCGCCGCGGGAACACCGGCGGCCCGAGUGGUGAUCGUGAUUAUUGGGUCUAAAGGGUCCGUAGCCGGUUUGGUCAGUCCUCCGGGAAAUCUGAUAGCUCAACUAUUAGGCUUUCGGGGGAUACUGCCAGACUUGGAACCGGGAGAGGUAGGAGGUACUACAGGGGUAGGAGUGAAAUCUUGUAAUCCCUGUGGGACCACCUGUGGCGAAGGCGUCUUACCAGAACGGGUUCGACGGUGAGGGACGAAAGCUGGGGGGCACGAACCGGAUUAGAUACCCGGGUAGUCCCAGCCGUAAACGAUGCUCGCUAGGUGUCAGGCAUGGCGCGACCGUGUCUGGUGCCGCAGGGAAGCCGUGAAGCGAGCCGCCUGGGAAGUACGGCCGCAAGGCUGAAACUUAAAGGAAUUGGCGGGGGAGCACAACAACGGGUGGAGCCCUGCGGUUUAAUUGGACUCAACGCCGGACAACUCACCGGGGGCGACAGCAAUAUGUAGGCCAAGCUGAAGACUUUGCCUGAAUCGCUGAGGAGUGGUGCAUGG
rnacentral:rRNA from 1 species